rnacentral:rRNA from 1 species
AGAGUUUGAUCAUGGCUCAGGACGAACGCUGGCGGCGUGCUUAACACAUGCAAGUCGAGCGGUAAGGCCCUUUCGGGGGUACACGAGCGGCGAACGGGUGAGUAACACGUGGGUGACCUGCCCUCAGCUCUGGGAUAAGCCUGGGAAACUGGGUCUAAUACCGGAUAUUCACUUCUCAUCGCAUGGUGGGUGGUGGAAAGUUUUUUCGGCUGGGGAUGGGCCCGCGGCCUAUCAGCUUGUUGGUGGGGUGAUGGCCUACCAAGGCGACGACGGGUAGCCGGCCUGAGAGGGCGACCGGCCACACUAGGACUGAGACACGGCCCAGACUCCUACGGGAGGCAGCAGUGGGGAAUAUUGCGCAAUGGGCGGAAGCCUGACGCAGCGACGCCGCGUGGGGGAUGACGGCCUUCGGGUUGUAGACCUCUUUCGACCGGGACGAAGAGUGAUUGACGGUACCGGUAGAAGAAGCACCGGCCAACUACGUGCCAGCAGCCGCGGUAACACGUAGGGUGCGAGCGUUGUCCGGAAUUAUUGGGCGUAAAGAGCUCGUAGGCGGUGUGUCGCGUCGGCCGUGAAAACCUGGGGCUUAACUCUGGGCUUGCGGUCGAUACGGGCAUCACUGGAGUUCGGCAGGGGAGACUGGAAUUCCUGGUGUAGCGGUGAAAUGCGCAGAUAUCAGGAGGAACCACCGGUGGCGAAGGCGGGUCUCUGGGCCGAUACUGACGCUGAGGAGCGAAAGCGUGGGGAGCGAACAGGAUUAGAUACCCUGGUAGUCCACGCCGUAAACGUUGGGCGCUAGGUGUGGGGGCCAUUCCACGGUCUCUGUGCCGCAGCUAACGCAUUAAGCGCCCCGCCUGGGGAGUACGGCCGCAAGGCUAAAACUCAAAGGAAUUGACGGAAUCGUCGACCUGCAGGCAUGCAAGC